ACUGCUCAGUAACACGUGGACAGCCUGCCCUUAGGUUGGGUAUAAACCCGGGAAACUGGGUAUAAUACCCGAUAGGUCUCGAUUGCUGGAAUGCAUCGAGAUUUAAAGCUCCGGCGCCUAAGGAUGGGUCUGCGGCCUAUCAGGUAGUAGUGGGUGUAGCGUACCUACUAGCCUACGACGGGUACGGGUUGUGAGAGCAAGAGCCCGGAGAUGGAUUCUGAGACACGAAUCCAGGCCCUACGGGGUGCAGCAGGCGCGAAAACUUUACAAUGCUGGCAACAGCGAUAAGGGAACCUCGAGUGCCAGGUUACAAAUCUGGCUGUCGAGAUGCCUAAAAAGCAUUUCAUAGCAAGGGCCGGGCAAGACCGGUGCCAGCCGCCGCGGUAACACCGGCGGCUCGAGUGGUAACCGUUAUUAUUGGGUCUAAAGGGUCUGUAGCCGGCCGGAUAAGUCUCUUGAGAAAUCUGGCAGCUUAACUGUCAGGCUUUCAGGAGAUACUGUCUGGCUCGAGGCCGGGAGAGGUGAGAGGUACUUCAGGGGUAGGGGUGAAAUCUUGUAAUCCUUGAAGGACCACCAGUGGCGAAGGCGUCUCACCAGAACGGACCUGACGGCAAGGGACGAAAGCUAGGGGCACGGACCGGAUUAGAUACCCGGGUAGUCCUAGCCGUAAACGAUACUCGCUAGGUGUCGGCCACGGUGCGACCGUUGUCGGUGCCGUAGGGAAGCCGUGAAGCGAGCCACCUGGGAAGUACGGCCGCAAGGCUGAAACUUAAAGGAAUUGGCGGGGGAGCAC
rnacentral:rRNA from 1 species